UGGGGGAUAUUGCACAAUGGGCGAAAGCCUGAUGCAGCGACGCCGCGUGAGGGAAGACGGCCUUCGGGUUGUAAACCUCUGUCAUUCGGGACGAAGAAAGUGACGGUACCGAAGAAGGAAGCUCCGGCUAACUACGUGCCAGCAGCCGCGGUAAUACGUAGGGAGCGAGCGUUGUCCGGAAUUACUGGGUGUAAAGGGAGCGUAGGCGGGAAAGCAAGUUGGAAGUGAAAUGCAUGGGCUCAACCCAUGAGCUGCUUUCAAAACUGUUUUUCUUGAGUGAAGUAGAGGCAGGCGGAAUUCCUAGUGUAGCGGUGAAAUGCGUAGAUAUUAGGAGGAACACCAGUGGCGAAGGCGGCCUGCUGGGCUUUAACUGACGCUGAGGCUCGAAAGCGUGGGUAGCAAACAG
rnacentral:rRNA from 1 species